rnacentral:rRNA from 1 species
GACGAACGCUGCGGCGUGCUUAACACCUGCCAGUCGAACGGAAAGGCCCUGCUUUUGUGGGGUGCUCGAGUGGCGAACGGGUGAGUAACACGUGAGUAACCUGCCCUUGACUUUGGGAUAACUUCAGGAAACUGGGGCUAAUACCGGAUAGGAGCUCCUGCUGCAUGGUGGGGGUUGGAAAGUUUCGGCGGUUGGGGAUGGACUCGCGGCUUAUCAGCUUGUUGGUGGGGUAGUGGCUUACCAAGGCUUUGACGGGUAGCCGGCCUGAGAGGGUGACCGGCCACAUUGGGACUGAGAUACGGCCCAGACUCCUACGGGAGGCAGCAGUGGGGAAUAUUGCACAAUGGGCGGAAGCCUGAUGCAGCAACGCCGCGUGCGGGAUGACGGCCUUCGGGUUGUAAACCGCUUUCGCCUGUGACGAAGCGUGAGUGACGGUAAUGGGUAAAGAAGCACCGGCUAACUACGUG